rnacentral:rRNA from 1 species
UACGGGGGGGGCGAGCGUUGUUCGGAAUUACUGGGCGUAAAGGGUGCGUAGGCGGUGCUCUAAGUCGGAUGUGAAAACUCUGGGCUCAACCCAGAGCCUGCAUCCGAAACUGGAGUGCUAGAGUUCUGGAGGGGGUAGCGGAAUUCCUGGUGUAGCGGUGAAAUGCGUAGAUAUCAGGAGGAACACCGGUGGCGAAGGCGGCUACCUGGACAGAAACUGACGCUGAGGUGCGAAAGCGUGGGGAGCAAACAGG